CGCCGCAUCACCCUCAUCCAUCAACACACAGUUUUCCCCAUACCUACGAAGAAGACAAAAGCAGUGAACCACUGCGGAGAAGGGGAGGAGGAGUGGAAGAAGAGCGCCCCGGCCAGGAAGGGUGCUGUCGCCGCCAGCUGGUCGCCGUCGAUCCCUCACUUGCAUCGUUGCCAACCGUGCCAUCACAGAGAGAGAUCGGGCAUAAAAAAAGGAAGACCCAGGGUGAAGGGAGCGCGCAGGGGAGAAGAAGGAGGCGUUGCUUGGCCGCAACACCUCGUCGCCGUCACUGAAGAUCCGGUAGGCCCCAUCGACCGUCAUUGAGCCACGCUGAUCGUCGCUGCCCAGGCGUCGUUCUGCCAUCACCAUCGUCCCAUCCAUGGGGCCUGAGCUUGCGUCGCCAUCUUUGAUCUUCGGCGUCGCUGCUGGAGGAGGAGGGUUCGCUGGGUGCUACCGUCGCCAAUAUCGUGGAACACCCACAGAGCAGAGGAAGAAAGGGCCCUCACCGUGCUAAGUUGUUGUGUUGUGAUCAGAAGCCGCUAUUGUCGCCGCCACUAUAGACCCUAUCAUCGUCGUUGAUGCUGCCUGGACCGCCGUCGUUGCUAGAAGCCCCCAUUGGAGCUGCACUGUUCAAUGACUUCUGUGAGUUCCGGAGCCUCUGCCACCAGAGCUGCUCAGAACCACCACUGUGACUUCCGUUGGGAUUGUGAAUGGAGGGAGAAGAAACUGAUUAUGUUAUAGCCACACUUGGAGGAGAAAUCAACUGCGCCGCCAUGCCUGGCCGCCGGAAAACGUCAUUGCUGUCGCCGGAAAACUCUACCGGUAAGGGUUUUUGAGUUUGAUUUCCAUUCGUUUAAGAUUUCGGAAGCCUUAUCGUCUCUGUAUGUGGGUUUCGGUCUUCAUCGCCGGAGUCCGGUCGCCACCGUCGCUUGAUGUGGCUGCCAGGGCCACUGCAAACUGGUUCAGAACCCGCUGUUGUUUCAUUUCGCUAUUUCAGAAUUAGAAUCCGAUUUUCUUGUGCCGCUUGUAGCUGUUUCUGCUUUUGAGAGAGCAAGCAGAGCCGGGGUUUUGAUUGCCGGUGAUUUCGGAUUGAGACGAAAAAAACUUUAUGAGGCGUUUGGACUAUGGUUUUGCGUAUUGAGAAUCUGUCAUAAGCCAAAUGGCUGACUAUAAAUUAUGAACUUAAGCCGGAUGGGUGAGAUGAACGUUGAUUCAUGGCUGAGAAUGAAUGCAUAUAUGCUGAGUUAUUGAUAUUGUGAUUGUUGCACUUCUACUAUCGGAGACACGAGUUUCCCUGGAAGAAAGCUGUGGCUAGCCACCACGUGCUCUAGGUGGAGACUAGAGACUCUGCUGACCCUAUGUCGUAAGUGUGUCCAGGCACUGUGAAAGUUCCAAAUGAGCUCGCCCACAUGAAUAUACACCAGUGAGGGUGUUGGAUAUGGAUUAUUGAUGAGCGGAUAAUUUAUACGCUUUUUGGCAUUGUUUUUAGGUAGUUUUUAAUAAUUUCUGGCUGAAAUUGAGGGACUUGAGCAAAACUCUGAAAAAAAGGCUGACAAAAGGACUGCUGAUGCUGUUGGAAUCUGACCUCCCUGCACUCGAAAUGGAUUUUCUAGAGCUACAGAACUCCAAAUGGCGCGCUCUCAACGGCGUUGGAAAGUAGACAUCCAGGGCUUUCCAGCAAUAUAUAAUAGUCCAUACUUUAUUCGAAAAUUGACGACGUAACUUGGCGUUGAACGCCAAGUACAUGCUGCUGUAUGGAGUUAAACGCCAGAAAAACGUCAUGAUCCGGAGUUGAACGCCCAAAACACGUCAUAACUUGGAGUUCAACUCCAAGAGAAGCCUCAGCUCGUGGAUAGAUCAAGGUCAGCCCAAGCAUACACCAAGUGGGCCCUGGAAGUGAAUUUAUGCAUUAAUUACUUACUCAUGUAAACCCUAGGAGCUAGUUUAUUAUAAAUAGAAAUUUUUACUAGUGUAUUAGACAUCUCUGGACGCCUGGUCCUUAGACCAUGGGGGCUGGCCAUUCGGCCAUGCCUGAACCUUUCACUUAUGUAUUUUCAACAGUGGAGUUUCUACACACCAUAGAUUAAGAGUGUGGAGCUCUGCUGUACCUCAAGUUUUAAUACAAUUACUAUUACUUUCUAUUCAA